rnacentral:rRNA from 1 species
AGAGGAUGAUCCCCCACACUGGUACUGAGAUACGGACCAGACUCCUACGGGAGGCAGCAGUAGGGAAUAUUGGGCAAUGGACGGAAGUCUGACCCAGCCAUGCCGCGUGCAGGAAGAAGGCCUUCUGGGUUGUAAACUGCUUUUAUAUAGGAAGAAAACACCCAUGCGUGGGAACCUGACGGUACUAUAUGAAUAAGCACCGGCUAACUCCGUGCCAGCAGCCGCGGUAAUACGGAGGGUGCAAGCGUUGUCCGGAUUUAUUGGGUUUAAAGGGUGCGUAGGCGGCCCGUUAAGUCAGUGGUGAAAGCCUCCAGCUCAACUGGAGAACUGCCAUUGAUACUGACGGGCUUGAGUACAGACGAGGUAGGCGGAAUUGAUUGUGUAGCGGUGAAAUGCAUAGAUACAAUCAAGAACUCCGAUUGCGUAGGCAGCUUACUAGGCUGUAACUGACGCUGAGGCACGAAAGCGUGGGGAGCGAACAGGAUUAGAUACCCUGGUAGUCCACGCUGUAAACGAUGAUUACUCGAUGUCGGCGAUAAACUGUCGGCGUCUUAGCGAAAGCGUUAAGUAAUCCACCUGGGGAGUACGCCCGCAAGGGUGAAACUCAAAGGAAUUGACGGGGGCCCGCACAAGCGGUGGAGCAUGUGGUUUAAUUCGAUGAUACGCGAGGAACCUUACCUAGGCUAGAAUGCGCGUGACCGGUUCAGAGAUGAGCCUUUCCUUCGGGACACAAAGCAAGGUGCUGCAUGGCCGUCGUCAGCUCGUGCCGUGAGGUGUUGGGUUAAGUCCCGCAACGAGCGCAACCCCUAUCUUUAGUUGCCAGCAUGUAAUGAUGGGGACUCUAAAGAGACUGCCUGCGCAAGCAGUGAGGAAGGUGGGGAUGACGUCAGGUCAUCAUGGCCCUUACGCCUAGGGCUACACACGUGCUACAAUGGGCGGUACAAAGGGUUGCUACCUGGUGACAGGAUGCCAAUCUCAAAAAGCCGCUCUCAGUUCGGAUCGAAGUCUGCAACUCGACUUCGUGAAGCUGGAAUCGCUAGUAAUCGCGUAUCAGCAAUGACGCGGUGAAUACGUUCCCGGGCCUUGUACACACCGCCCGUCAAGCCAUGGAAGUCAGGGAGACCUGAAGACGGUGCCCGUUAAAGGAGCCGUUUAGGGUAAAACUGGUAACUGGGGCUAAGUCGAAACAAGGUAGCCGUACCGGAAGGUGCGGCUG